rnacentral:rRNA from 1 species
GAUGAACGCUGGCGGCGUGCCUAAUACAUGCAAGUCGAGCGAACAGACGAGGAGCUUGCUCCUCUGACGUUAGCGGCGGACGGGUGAGUAACACGUGGAUAACCUACCUAUAAGGCUGGGAUAACUUCGGGAAACCGGAGCUAAUACCGGAUAAUAUAUUGAACCGCAUGGUUCAAUAGUGAAAGACGGUUUUGCUGUCACUUAUAGAUGGAUCCGCGCCGCAUUAGCUGGUUGGUAAGGUAACGGCUUACCAAGGCAACGCUGCGUAGCCGACCUGAGAGGGUGGUCCGCCCCCCUGGCGCUAGGACACGGUCCUGACUCCUACGGGAGGCAGCAGUCGCCAAUCUUCCGCAAUGCGCGAAAGCUUGACGCAGCAACGCCGCUUCAGUGCUGAUGGUCUUCGGAUCUUAACCCUCUGUUAUUAGGGAAGCACAAAUGUGUCAGUAACUAUGCACGUCUUGCCGGUCCCUACUCAGAAAGCCACGGCUAACUACGUG